rfam:Microgenomates (Levybacteria) bacterium GW2011_GWB1_39_7 TT56_C0001, whole genome shotgun sequence.
GCCUAGAUUGCCAAUGUGGUCAAGGCGCCAGUCUGAAGAACUGGUUAUGCGGGUUCGAUUCCUGCUCUAGGCA